AUUGAACGCUGGCGGCAGGCCUAACACAUGCAAGUCGGGCGAGCGGCGGACGGGUGAGUAAUGUAUGGGGACUGCCUGAUGGCGGGGGAUAACUACUGGAAACGGUAGCUAAUACCGCAUACUAUCGGAUAACCCAUAUGGGAUUAGCUAGUAGGUGAGGUAAAGGCUCGCCAAGGCAACGAUCCGUGGCUGGUUUGAGAGGACGAACAGCCACACUGGGACUGAGACAAGGACCAGACUCCUACGGAGGCAGCAGUGGGGAAUUUUGGAUGAUGGGUGAAACGCUGAUCCAGCCAUACAAGGUGUAUGAAGAAGGCCUUCGGGUUGUAAAGUACUUUUGCAGAGAAGAGGGAUCUGAAGAAUAAGCACCGGAUAACUACGUGCCAGCAGCAGCGGUAAUAC
rnacentral:rRNA from 1 species